CUUGCUUUCUUUGCUGGCGACCGGCGCACGGGUGAGUAACACGUAUCCAACCUGCCCUUUACUCGGGGAUAGCCUUUCGAAAGAAAGAUUAAUACCCGAUGGCAUAGUUCUUCCGCAUGGUAGAACUAUUAAAGAAUUUCGGUCAUCGAUGGGGAUGCGUUCCAUUAGGUUGUUGGCGGGGUAACGGCCCACCAAGCCUUCGAUGGAUAGGGGUUCUGAGAGGAAGGUCCCCCACAUUGGAACUGAGACACGGUCCAAACUCCUACGGGAGGCAGCAUG
rnacentral:rRNA from 1 species